rnacentral:rRNA from 1 species
UACGUAGGGAGCGAGCGUUGUCCGGAUUCAUUGGGCGUAAAGCGCUUUAAGGCGGUUCGCUAAGUCGGGUGUGAAACCUCCAGGCUCAACCUGGAGACGCCACUCGAUACUGGCGUGACUAGAGUUCGGUAGGGGAUCACGGAAUUCCUGGUGUAGCGGUGAAAUGCGCAGAUAUCAGGAAGAACACCAAUGGCGGAAGCAGCUCUCUGGGACGGUACUGACGCUGAGACGCGAAAGCGUGGGGAGCGAACAGG